CUAUAUCCGGUGUGGCUUCAAAACUAAGGAGGGGGAAUUCAAAUCUUUUACUUAUAUCUCAAUAUACUGCGUAGUUAUGAGUAAUAUGCGUCCACCGGCUCGCAGUCCGUAUCAACAAGGUAACAUGUCUACUCCGACAGGCCAUAAUAGCCAGCGAUCUCCUAAGGUCAAGAAACAUAAUAGUAGCCCGGCCUGGGGGUCUGGUGCAAUUAUACGCCCAAUGUCGAAUUGUCCGCGACCAGGUCAGUUUACUUCGCCUCCGCCACAAUAUAAUUUUACAUCUCCUCCUCAAGGGCCACACCACCAGCAGUUUCCCCCCCCUACCGUAAUUUCAUGACUAGUCCCCGUCAUUAUGGUAACAGCUUCGGUAGUAAUGGAAACACGUUUAGAACACCACAACCAAUGGCCCGAAUCCCCUCACCUCAGAAAAGCUGGAGCUGUGACAGGAAUUUCCGACCAAUGUCACACAAGAAGUUAAAUAUGAAGAGUCCUAGACGAGACCCUAAUUCUAAUCCUGGAGGAUGCAAUGACAUAGCACUAUACUAUCACCCGAGUAUGUUGGCUGAUCCGUGGCAAAAAAUGACUCCCGUUCCCGUAACACACACACCCUCUGCGACCACAUGAUAACAAUACAGGAACGAUGUUCAAUAUCAGGUUAUGCGGUACUAUUUUGCCAAGUACAGUAACAGAUUUAUCUUCCGUGACGACAGACAAAAUGUGGUUAUGGCUUAACAUGGCAGCAGUUUCUUACAAUGGACACAUACCUCAAGAAUGUGUGGUCAAUAUACGUUAUUGGUGGGAUUGAUUUUCUUUCAGCGGUAAUCUUUACAUGGAGUAAAAAUAAUAAUUUGGACUUAGAAGCAAGACCUGCUCAAUGGGCCCUUCAGUCUGCAUAUUUUUGACAGUGGAUUAACCCUAACAAGGAGGCAGCUUUUCUGAGAUUGAGUGUUAAAGUGUUAAAACUUUGAACACUUUCAAGUGUGGAUUAUUAUUUGACAGUGGAAUGUCGUUUUAUUUUGUGCGCUGUGAAACUUGAACCUGUUCAUUAACCAUAUUAACUGUUUAAGCAUUGAGUGAUCAAGAAAGGGUUGAAGUAUUUUGGGAUUUCUUCGACAUCUAGCUGUCAAAUUGGUACUCAUCCUAAGUGUUCUUUGUAAAAUCGCCAUACUAUUUGUCAUCACGAUUCAUUUGAACUUUUCGUUAUAUUUUAGAGAAGAAUCAGUUCCAUUAUUGAUAGUCCAAGAUGUUUCAAAUAAAAUCAGAAAUUUGGACGUUUGUAUAUUUGGCUAUCUGGUAAGCACAUUUUAAUUUCGGCUUUUUAAAAAAAAUGUCAUCAUUUCGUUUCUAACUGUCAAGUUAUGUAAGAUGCAGCCAUUGUUUCUUGUGUGAUGCUAACAGACUUGAUAAGACUUAGAAAUUUGUUAUUUGUUGACAAUUUUAGACUGUCAGUUUUAGUUGUUUUAUAUAUUGUAAAUUGUGUAUAUUAUUUGUGUAUUUAUCACAGAGUGUCAUUAAACUUUGUAUAUAUAUCUAUCUGUUCAAAAGAUAGCCUAACCUUGUUAAAACCUGAUGAAUGUUUUAUCUUGAGAAUAUUAACUGCAGUAUAUUUUAACAUACUUAAGGAUCCUCUCUGAAAUAACUGAUGAAAAGUCCUACAAAUCGUCCAUCAUAUUAUUCAUUGUUUUGACCUUCCUAGUAUGUGUUUUGUUCAAGAGGAAAUAUCAGAUUCUAAUUGUAUGCCCAGUCUUAUAAUAGGAAUAGUAUGGAUUGGAAAAAAGCUGAUCAAUUAUUAAUAAUGAAGUUAUGAAUUAAUUUUCUGUCUAAAUGUGUAUAGAUAUAAAAACAUUUAUAUAGUAGUUCUUAGAUGAAUAAAAGGAACGAUUGAUUUCAAAUUGAAA